GCCGAAAUAGCUCGGUUGGGAGAGCGUUAGAUUGAAGAUCUGAAGGUUCCUGGUUCAAUCCCGGGUUUCGCAGCG
rnacentral:tRNA from 1 species